rnacentral:tRNA from 1 species
GGCGGUGUAGCUCAGGUGGUUAGAGCAAACGGCUCAUAUCCGUUGUGUCCGGGGUUCAAGUCCCUGCACCGCCACCA